GGGCCUGCAAUGGCUUCGACAGGGCAUUGAAAGUUAGAAAUUCGUCCGAGUGAUGACGCAAUCAUCAACCCUAAAAAUAAACGCAAACAAUAGACGUUUAGCAGUAGCCUAGUUGCUACACCAAAACACCGUAAGAUUUCUUGUUAGUAGCGGUUGAGGUUCAAAAACAACAAGUAAUGAGAUUGUUUCUCUGUUUUAACUUCUAAUAAAAACAGAGUGGUGGAAUUAGUAACAACUGUUACUAGCCUGAUAUAUCCAAUGGAGAGCUGAUAAAUCGCCAUAGGUGAAAAUUGGAUAUGAAAUAACCUAAAGGAUUGCAAACGACGUAAAGAUUUCUAAUAAGUAUAUGUUUUGGACACGGGUUCGACUCCCGUCAGGUCCACUU
rnacentral:tmRNA from 1 species